GCGUUUGCAUAGUGGGAGUAUCAUAGCCAGCGUGGUUUAUUCAAAGGCAUGAUUAUUGCUAAUUGAAAACUUUUUUCAAUACCCGGCCACAACAACUUGAAAUAUAGUCGGCAUUGGCCAUUUUUGAUAGUAUUUAAGGCAGUUGCUUCCCUGUCUCAAUA